UACGAAGGGGGCUAGCGUUGUUCGGAAUUACUGGGCGUAAAGCGCAUGUAGGCGGCAGCGCAAGUCGGGCGUGAAAGUCCCACGGCUCAACCGUGGAAGUGCACUCGAAACUGCGCAGCUAGAGUCCUGGAGAGGAAAGUGGAAUUCCUGGUGUGAAGCGGUGAAAUGCGUAGAUAUACAGGAGGAACACCGGUGGUGUAGACGGCUUUCUGGACCGUAACUGACGCUGAGAACAGAAAGCGUGGGUAGCAAACAGG
rnacentral:rRNA from 1 species